rnacentral:rRNA from 1 species
CGGCGGACGGGUGAGUAAUGCCUAGGAAUCUGCCUGGUAUGGGGGACAACGUUUCGAAAGGAACGCUAAUACCGCAUACGUCCUACGGGAGAAAGCAGGGACCUUCGGGCCUUGCGCUAUCAGAUGAGCCUAGGUCGGAUUAGCUAGUUGGUGAGGUAAUGGCUCACCAAGGCGACGAUCCGUAACUGGUCUGAGAGGAUGAUCAGUCACACUGGAACUGAGACACGGUCCAGACUCCUACGGGAGGCAGCAGCA